AACAUAAGGUGAUCAAGAUUUAGUAUUUGUUUAAUAUUAAGUUUAGGAAAGUCCAUGUUAGCACAUGUUACAGGAAUAGCAUGUAGUGUUUGUGCUUAAGGAAAAAAUAACUUAAGGUACUUAAAUUAAAUUAAGUAACGGCUUUUUUAUAUUCUAAAAGUUUAUUUUUUGAAUAGAUUUAUGAAAAUAAAAAGUAAAGUGCCACAGAGACGAGUUAAUUAGAAAUAAUUAAGUGAAACGCGGUAAACCCCUCAAGCUAAUAAUCCAAAAAAAGGUAGGAGCACAUAAAAUAAACUUUUUCCUGAUUUUUUAAUUAAAGUUAUUUUUAUGCUAUCUAAAUUAAAUUAGAUAGAGAUAAAUGAUCACAUCUUGUUUUUUUAAAAUUAUUAAAAAUUUUUUUAUAAAGACAAGUACAGAACAUGGCUUAUGCAU
rnacentral:RNase_P_RNA from 1 species